UACAGAGGUGGCAAGCGUUGUUCGGAAUUACUGGGCGUAAAGGGCGCGUAGGCGGCCUUCUAAGUCAGACGUGAAAUCCCCCGGCUUAACCUGGGAACUGCGUCUGAUACUGGGAGGCUUGAGUAUGGGAGAGGGAUGUAGAAUUCCAGGUGUAGCGGUGAAAUGCGUAGAUAUCGGGAGGAACACCGGUGGCGAAGGCGGUCUUCUGGACGGUGACUGACGCUGAGGCGCGAAAGCGUGGGGAGCAAACGGG
rnacentral:rRNA from 1 species